rnacentral:rRNA from 1 species
AACGAACGCUGGCGGCAUGCCUAACAUAUGCAAGUCGAACGAGACCUUCGGGUCUAGUGGCGCACGGGUGCGUAACGCGUGGGAACCUGCCCUUAGGUUCGGAAUAACUCCCCGAAAGGGGUGCUAAUACCGGAUAAUGUCUUCGGACCAAAGAUUUAUCGCCUUUGGAUGGGCCCGCGUUGGAUUAGCUAGUUGGUAGGGUAAAAGCCUACCAAGGCGACGAUCCAUAGCUGGUCUGAGAGGAUGAUCAGCCACACUGGGAGUGGGACCCGGCCCAGACCCUUGGGGAGGGGGGCAGGGGGGAAAAUGGAAAAAGGGGGGAAGGCCGAAGCCCCCAGGGCCGGGGAAGGGAUUAGGGCCUUAGGGUUAAAAAGCUUUUUUUCCCGGGAUGUUAAGGACGGACCCGGGAAAAAAGGCCCGGCCAACCUCCUG